UUGUGGUUAAAAAGCUCGUAGUUGGAUCUCGGCGGACUGAGGGCGGUUUGCUUGCUAGUAUUACUGCCCUAUAGUCCGUAGUUUUGCCAGAGGUUUCGGGGUGCUCUUAAUCGAGUGUCCCGGGAUGCUGACAGGUUUACUUUGAAAAAAUUAGAGUGCUCAAAGCAGGCUAUUACGCCUGAAUAUUCGUGCAUGGAAUAAUAGAAUAGGAAGUCGUUUCUAUUUUGUUGGUUUUCGGAAAUCGACUUAAUGAUUAAUAGGGACAGUCGGGGGCAUUUGUAUUCAAACGACAGAGGUGAAAUUCUUGGACCGUUUGAAGACAAACUACUGCGAAAGCAUUUGCCAAGAAUGUUUUCAUUAAUCAAGAACGAAAGUUAAAGGUUCGAAGGCGAUUAGAUACCGCCCUAGUUUUAACCAUAAACGAUGCCAGCUAGCGAUCUGCGGACGUUUUUUUGUAGACUCCGCAGGAAGCUUCCGGGAAACCAAAGCAUUUGGGUUCCAGGGGAAGUAUGGUUGCAAAGCUGAAACUUAAAGGAAUUGACGGAAGGGCACCACCAGGAGUGGAGCCUGUGGCUUAAUUUGACUCAACACGGGAAAUCUCACCAGGCCCGGACACUGGAAGGAUUGACAGAUUGAUAGCUCUUUCUUGAUUCGGUGGGUGGUGGUGCAUGGCCCGUCCUUAUUUGGUGGAGUGAUUUGUC
rnacentral:rRNA from 1 species